rnacentral:rRNA from 1 species
AUGUCUGCCGAGGGAAAGCAGAAGUGCUUUUUGAAACAAGACACCCAGCAUCGUAAAUGGUUCUGCUGCAUUUGUUCUUUGCCCCAUCUUGCAGGAAGUAGAUUGUUUCGCAUCCGGGGCAAAGAUUUGGACAUGAAUCUUGCUUCUCUCCCAUCCGGGGAAGCUUCUCCGCUCCUUCCGGCCCAUCCACUCCAUGCCCCUGUGUCACCCCGCUCCUCAAGUCGUGAUGCCUUCCAGCUGCACGAAGAUAAGCCUGUAAAAGAUGGCGAUAAUAUAUUCGCGCUGUCCAUUUCCCCAGCCUCGCCGAAUAAAAGAGAGCAGGAAGCCACUGCAGGGCUACUACGUCAUGUCAGUCAGCCAGGGGUUUAA